rnacentral:rRNA from 1 species
CCUACGGGAGGCAGCAGUGGGGAAUAUUGCGCAAUGGUCGAAAGACUGACGCAGCGACGCCGCGUGGAGGAUGACGCCCUUCGGGGUGUAAACUCCUGUUGCUCGGGACGAACCGUGGAAUUCAUUCCACCUGACGGUACCGAGUGAGGAAGCACCGGCUAACUCUGUGCCAGCAGCCGCGGUAAU